UACAAGUACAUGCAAAGAAUAUAUGAUUAAGAUCAGCGGGAUCAGCUCCACAAGUACACGCAGAACUGGUCACGCGAUUUAGUAGUUUCAGGUGUUCCGGUGUACAUACGUGACCCAAUCUCAUUCGAAUUAACAUACUAGUUGCAGGUUUUGGCAAAGAGAUUUUAGCAAACCAAGGAUUCCAAAGCACUCACCACUGUACACAGAGGAUUCCGGUGGCAACUUUAUUUUUUGAUAAAUAUUAGAUUGGGUGUGGAGAACACCAAUGCCAACACAACCAUUGUCUGACAUCUUAGAAGCGUCUGUGUAUAUAUGAUCGGCACCCAGGCCAUCUGUUCCAAUGAAUCCCAGGAAUUGUUGAUUUUGUUCAACAUCAUUCUUGGAGACACCAAUAUCGAGGAGAACCGGAGGAACAAGAGUCAGAGAAUCAUAUUCAUAUUGGAAAAUGGGAAGUGUCGAAGAACUAACAGUGGAAGCCGAUAUAGAUUUAAGUUUUUGAAAACUUUUGAUAAAGCAAGGAGGACUCUUGUGUUUCCAAUAGUUAGAAGUAGUUAUUUGAAGCAGGAGGUUAGACAAGAUAGUCCAAAGUUGGUGAUUAGAGAAUUGGGAACAACGGAAAAUAAACCUAUCACAAAGAUAUUGGCGUCGUAAAUGAAGAGGAGGCUCAGCACACUCAACUUGCAUAGCAUUGAUAGGACUCGAAUUCAUGGCACCACAAAUCAAUCUCAAUGCUUUGGAUUGAAUAUGAUCUAGUUUUUGAAAGCCAGCUACAGAUCCUGGCUCUAACAAAAAUGUCCCAUAGUCUAGAAUACUUCUAAUCAAGGCAUUGUACAUUAGUUUCAUGCAAAAAGGAUGUGAACCCCACCAAACUCCUGAAACGCACCUGAGGACAUUAAUAUUUUUUUCACAUUUAGAAACUAUGUAAUCACAAUGUGGAAGACCCGUUAAUUUAUUAUCUAAAAUAACACCCAGGAACUUGGUUUUAUCUUUAAUGGAAAUGGAGCUGUUAUUAAAUUGCACAUUGAUUGGAGGAGGAAACAUUUUUCUAGUAAACAAAACUACAACACUUUUAGGCACUGAGAGUUCCAGACCAUUUGAAUCUAACCAUAACUUCAAUAAGCCCAAAGAACACGUGACGGAUCUACUGGCCUGUUCAAUAGAAAGGUUUGGGGAAUAUAAUAAUAAAUCAUCAGCAUAUUGCAAGACUGUAACAGUGUUAUUUAAGGAUGACUCUAAAUCAAAUGUGUAGAUAUUAUAUAACAAGGGACUUAAUACAGAUCCUUGUGGAAGCCCUCUCCACACUAAACGGGAAAUCUUAUUGUAGUCGUCUAUGAGAAGGCUAAUUGACCUUUCUGAUAAAAGGUUUAUUAUGAAAUUGCUUAACAUUAUUGGUAUAGCUAAUUUGUGAAGUUUUGCUUGUAACACUGAGACUAAGACAUUAUCAUAAGCGGCUUUUAUGUCUAGAAAAGCAGCUACAACAGACUCGUUUCUAGAAAAUGCCAAUCGAAUAUCUGAAAUUAAAAUACCCAAGCUAUCAUAAGUAGACCUACCUUUUCGGAAUCCAAAUUGACUAUGAGAAAGUAAUUGAUUUUUUUCUACAAAAUAUUCUAAUCUGUUUUUAACUAAAUGUUCUGCUACUUUAACAAAUACUGAGGAAAGGGCAAUCGGACGAUAUGAAGAAACAUCUGACACUGGUUUGAAGGGCUUUAAAAUAGGAAUAACUAUUUGAGAUCUCCAAGAAUCAGGGAUUUUACCAGACUGGAUAACAGAAUUUAUUAUAUUUAGAUAAUAAGAAAGAAUACCAUCACUGGCUUUUGCUAAAAAGGAAUAAGGGACUCCAUCUUCCCCAGCUUCCUUGCGGUUUCUGAUUGCUUGAGAGCAAUCAUCAUCCCACCAAGGCGGAGAAGGAAUUUUACCCGAUGCACUGUUUUUUACUGGGAAAAUUUCAUCAGCUGCUUCAAUCAUUGUCUGGGCUAAAGCAACUGAGCAACUAACUACAUUACUAUCAUCUAUGGUUGGUAAACAUAACAAUUUCUCCUCUACACGGGUUUUGAAAAGUUUCCAAUCAACAUUACUUAAAUUAUACUUAAGCCUAGGGCUCGGUUUUGGAGAUGGUGGAAUAGAAGAUGGAAAUGUAAUAAUGAUAGGGUAGUGGUCACUCCCAUAUGUCGACUCCAGAGUGUGCCAAGUGAGAGAAGACGCCAGAUCGACUGAACAAAUUGACAAAUCAAUAGCGCUAAUUGACUCUGUUGGAGCUGUUCGGCGGGUUGGAGAUCCAUUGUUUAAAACACAAAGAUUGUGUUCGUCUAAGAUAUGUAUGAGACGAUCUCCAUUAUAAUUAGACAAUGAACUACCCCAAACCUGGUGAUGUGAGUUAAAAUCUCCUAAAAUUAAAACGGGCCGAGGAAGAGAAGAAAUUAUUUGUUCAAGCUCAACAAAAAUGGAUGAUGAUGGAUGUGGAAUAUAUACAGAAAUGAUACAGAUGUUAUUUACAAUGGCAGCAACAAUUGAAAAAUUAUCGCUAUGAGAUGGAAGAUGAAACGGUGAAAAUGAUAUGGAAUUUCUGACGAGUAGAGCUACUCCGCCCCAUCCGCCAGGACGGUCCUCUCUGAGACAUGAAUAUCCCGUAGCUCUAAGAAGAGCUCCAGGCUUGAGCCAUGUCUCAGAGAGGGCAAAAACAAACGGUUGAAAUUUAUUUAAUAAAUGAAUUAAAUCUUG